rnacentral:lncRNA from 1 species
CUUUGAAUCACAUACAACAAACCUAAGAUUUCAAAAUCUAAAAUUUUACAGAAAAGUAAGUUCUUUCUUUCACAUUCUUCUUCAUGGGAUCUAAUCACAUGGCACCCCUACAUAUCAUAAGAGCACCCCAUUGAAUGAGAAAAGAGUCUUUAAACCCUUCUUGCUCCAAUGAUCGAACGGUCUGAUGAUCAACACAACCACGUACUUGCUAAUCGGAUCAUCUAAUCUAAUCACAUAUCAC